rnacentral:lncRNA from 1 species
UGAUUACUGCUUUGUCCCCACUCUCACAGCACCUCAUUCAUGGCACUCCCUAACUUCCUCCUCGCCUCCCCCCGCCCCCCAAUCCCCUCCUCUCUCUCUCUCUGUCCUGCUGUAGUCCUUCCUCUCAUAAUCCCCAACCAUUUAUCUGAAAUUUCAGCCUGAACUUUCUUGAACCAUGCCUUCCUUUUCUUUUCCUUGAAUCUCUCUUUUGUCAUUUUUGGUGGCUGUGAGCAAUUGAGCAGAGAUGAGACGAGGCGAGGUUCACAGUCUCCGUAUCAAUCUUUAAUUGUG